rnacentral:rRNA from 1 species
CGGCAGGCUUAACACAUGCAAGUCGAGGGGCAUCACGGGUAGCAAUACCUGGUGGCGACCGGCGCAAGGGUGCGUAACGCGUGAGCAACAUGCCCUAUACAGGGGGAUAAUCCAGGGAAACUUGGUCUAAUAUCCCAUAGCAUUUAGAGGUGGCAUCACCAUUAAAUUAAAGCUUCGGUGGUAUAGGAUUGGCUCGCGUGACAUUAGCUAGAUGGUGAGGUAACGGCUCACCAUGGCAAUGAUGUCUAGGGGUUCUGAGAGGAAGGCCCCCCACACUGGGACUGAGACACGGCCCAGACUCCUACGGGAGGCAGCAGUGAGGAAUAUUGGACAAUGGAUGGAAAUCUGAUCCAGCCAUGCCGCGUGCAGGAAGACAGCCCUAUGGGUUGUAAACUGCUUUUAUAUGGGAGCAAUAAGGUCUACGUGUAGACUGAUGAGAGUACCAUAUGAAUAAGCAUCGGCUAACUCCGUG